GACGAACGCUGGCGGCGUGCCUAAUACAUGCAAGUUGAGCGCUGAAGGUUGGUACUUGUACCAACUGGAUGAGCAGCGAACGGGUGAGUAACGCGUGGGGAAUCUGCCUUUGAGCGGGGGACAACAUUUGGAAACGAAUGCUAAUACCGCAUAAAAACUUUAAACACAAGUUUUAAGUUUGAAAGAUGCAAUUGCAUCACUCAAAGAUGAUCCCGCGUUGUAUUAGCUAGUUGGUGAGGUAAAGGCUCACCAAGGCGAUGAUACAUAGCCGACCUGAGAGGGUGGUCGGCCACAUUGGGACUGAGACACGGCCCAAACUCCUACGGGAGGCAGCAGAAGGGAAUCUUCGGCAAUGGACGAAAGUCUGACCGAGCAACGCCGCGUGAGUGAAGAAGGUUUUCGGAUCGUAAAACUCUGUUGGUAGAGAAGAACGUUGGUGAGAGUGGAAAGCUCAUCAAGUGACGGUAACUACCCAGAAAGGGACGGCUAACUACGUG
rnacentral:rRNA from 1 species